AGCGAACGCUGGCGGCAGGCUUAACACAUGCAAGUCGAACGGGCACUUCGGUGCUAGUGGCAGACGGGUGAGUACACCGGGGAACCUAACCUUUGGGUUCGAAUAAACCAGGGAAAACUUGACCUAUACCGGAUUCGGCCCUCGGGGGGAAGGAUUCUUCGCCGUAAGAUCGGCCCGCGUCUGAUUAGCUAGUUGGUGAGGUAAUGGCUCACCAAGGCGACGAUCAGUAGCUGGUCUGAGAGGAUGAUCAGCCACAUUGGGACUGAGACACGGCCCAAACUCCUACGGGAGGCAGCAGUGGGGAAUAUUGGACAAUGGGCGCAAGCCUGAUCCAGCCAUGCCGCGUGAGUGAUGAAGGCCUUAGGGUUGUAAAGCUCUUUUGUCCGGGAAGAUAAUGACUGUACCGGAAGAAUAAGCCCCGGCUAACUUCGUG
rnacentral:rRNA from 1 species